rnacentral:rRNA from 1 species
AAGAUUAAGCCAUGCAUGUCUAAGUAUAAGCACUUUAUACAGCGAAACUGCGAAUGGCUCAUUAAAUCAGUUAUAAUUUACUUGAUAGUACCUAUUUACUUGGAAUAACCGAGGAAAUCUUCAGCUAAUACAUGCUUACAUCCCUGACUGUUUGGAAAGGGAGUAUUUAUUAGAUAAAACCAAUGCCUUCGGGCUUUUGGAUGAUUCAUAGUAACUUUUCGAAUCGCAU